UGUCCCUGGCCUGGGUAGAGUGACAUCUUGCUGGUGCUGCUCAUCUCAUAUCAGUCAGGGACAAAACAACCCCUUGUUUAUCCCAGCUUGGCUUUUGGUCAGGGCCCUUGCCUGGUUUUUGACGUGGACAUAUGA
ensembl:snoRNA